UAUGAAAAGAUGACUUAUGAUUUCCCUCCUUCCUCUUAGCUAUCAUACUGAUCCAGGAUUUGUGUUUUAUUAAGGACAGAAGGGAGUAAUUAUUUGCAGCAAGCCAUAAAGUGGGAAAGAAGAUUAGACCCAUGUGACAACUUUUUUAUGAGGUUGUGCACAUUUCUGAUUUAAUAUGAGGAUGCACUGGGCUUUUCCCUGGAAGGGGUCUUGAACUAUACAUCCUUCAAAAGCUUCAAUAUUCCAAUUUUUUCAGGAUUUCCGCUCCUUCAUGACUUUAUACAGUACUGGUCAUUGCUUCAUAAAGAAUAGUAGCCAUGAUGGAAAUACGAACAGAGCCUAAGAGGACCAAGUGUAUAAAACAGUUUGAGCUAUACAGCCCACAGAACCCGAAUUGGGGUUGCUGAUCACUGAUUCUGUAGUCCUUCUGAAUAGGAGAUAUGCAAAAUGCAAAAGGAGAAAAGCUCUAUAUGAGCUCUUCUUCAAUCUGCAUUGCUGCAAGAAGCUAUGGAAGUGAGAAAAGAACAGCAAUAAAACGGUGUACUCCACAGAUAAAUCUGCAGAAAAGCUGCGUGUACUGGACAGCACAAGUCGUGCUGUUCUCAGCGCUGAAGAAUAGCAGGUCAGUUGAAUUCCAUAUGGAUUUUUUUCAGU